rnacentral:rRNA from 1 species
AUGUCUAAGAUAAGCCAUGCACGUCUAAGUACAAACUAAAUGAUGGUGAAACUGCAAAUGGCUCAUUACAACGGUUAUGAUGUACCCGGGAGUUCCGAUGGAUAUUUCCAGUAACACUAGAACUAAUACAUGUCCCUGCGUUUAUUAGUUUCGCACAGUCCGUCGCUGAGUCAUGGUAAACAGUUGAUCGACUCGACGUCCCGGAACAGUUUCCGCCCCAUCAGCUUCGAUGGUUGGGUAUUGGCCUACCAUUGCAACAACGGGUAACGAGGAAUUAGGGUUUGAUUUCGGAGAGGGAGCCUGAGAAACGGCUACCACAUCUACGGAUGGCAGCAGGCGCGCAAAUUACCCAAUGCAGACACUGUGAGGUAGUGACGAGAAAUAAUAAAGCGGGACUUCUGUUUCGCUAUUAUAAUGAGGAAUAACCAAAGGUCAUUCCGAUUAGCAACUGAUGGGAAAGUCUGGUGCCAGCAGCCGCGGUAAUACCAGCGUCAGUAGCA